rnacentral:rRNA from 1 species
UACGUAGGCAGCAAGCGUUGUUCGGAGUUACUGGGCGUAAAGGGUGUGUAGGCGGUCCCCUAAGUUUGGUGUGAAAUCUCCCGGCUCAACUGGGAGGGUGCGCCGAAAACUGGGGGGCUAGAGUACUGGAGAGGAGACUGGAAUUUACGGUGUAGCGGUGAAAUGCGUAGAUAUCGUAAGGAAGACCAGUGGCGAAGGCGGGUCUCUGGACAGUUCCUGACACUGAGACACGAAGGCCAGGGGAGCAAACGGG